UGUAACUAGAAAUAUGCCUGCCCAGGGAAAAUUUAUGUUUCAUGGGCCCUCUUGAAACUAAUUUAGUCAUGCAGGUCAUAUAGUCAAGUUCUUGCCAGCAGAAUUUAAGCAGAUGUGAUGAGUUCUAAUUCUAGUUCUAAAGGUUAAAAUAUCAGGCAUCCCUGUCUCUGCCCCUUGUAAGAGCAUAGCUUUGAAUAUUUAGAUGAGAAAAAUGCCUAAGAGCAAGAAAAUUUAAAAAAUUGAGAAAACCCUGGACCUUAAGUGACUGCACGGACCAAACCUUUCUGCUGAUCUACAAUGUUUACUGCUGGAAGUUAUGUGAGUGAAAAAUAAACUUGUUUUCUUUAAACUCUGUAUUUUAGGGCCACAUUGUUAUAACAGCUUUGUCUUCACACUAACUAAAGCAUUCCUCAAUCUGAAGGAAUGUUUAACCCCUGAAACCACACCGCUGCUGCCAAGUCACUUCAGUCGUGACCAACUCUGUGUGACCCCAGAGACAGCAGCCUAUCAGGCUCCCCCGUUCCUGGGAUUCUCCAGACAAGAACACUGGAGUGGGUUGCCAUCUCCUUCUCCAAUGCAUGAAAGUAAAAAGUGAAAGUGAAGUUGCUCAGCCGUGUCUAACUCUUAGUGACCCCAAGGAAUGCAGCCUACCAGGUUCCUCCACCCAUGGGAUUUUCCAGGCAAGAGUACUGGAGUGGGGUGCAAUUGCCCUCUCUGAAACCACACCAGUUAUCUCAAAAAGACCUGACUCUGCUCGUCAAAGAAGUUGCUGAAACACCCACUUGAAGAAAACGCUGAAAAUGUCCUCGCUGAGAACACACCGGUGGCUCCAACUGUGCUUUCCCUUUUACAUGUACGUUUCACUGUGGAGUCUUCAAGGCGAAGAGAAUUCAAACAGCCCAAAUGCUUCUUAAUGAGGUCAAUGAGCUUCAAAACUCUUUGGAUUACCCCUGAAUUGUGAAGAUAAUUGAAUCAAUCUUUUGCCACUGAAUAACUUCCACGACUUCAAUUUAGAUACAUAAAGAAAUGUUUUUAAUGAUAAUAAAGUAUUUUUAACACUGAGAAAUUAGAUAAUCAGCAUAGAUAUGUCAUCUUUCACUACACAGUAUACAUUUUUCUCCUGAAACCUGAUAUCAAGAAGCCUUAACUCAUGCCAUAGAGCAUAAUGAAAACAGAAAGGAAAAGUACUAUUUUAUUAGUUUUAAUGAGUACAUAAUUUCCUUUAAUUAUGCUUUGUGGGAUUUUUUUUUGAAAUAGUAAAUGUACUUUUGAUUUUAUGUCAUCAAGAAAUAGGUUUAGUUUGACAUUUAAAGAAGUAUUCAG
rnacentral:lncRNA from 1 species